rnacentral:tRNA from 1 species
AGCUCAGUUGGUAGAGUGCUUGCCUUGCAUGCAUAAGGACUGGGGUUCUAAUCCCCA